rnacentral:rRNA from 1 species
CAGGUCUAAUACCAAAUACCUUCUUUUUAACACAUGUUAAAAGAGAAAUGCUCCGGCGCUUUGGGAUGGUCUCGCGAUCUAUCAGCUUGUUGGUGAGGUAACGGCUCACCAAGGCAUCGACGGAUAGCUGGUCUGAGAGGAUGUCCAGCCACAUUGGAACUGAGACACGGUCCAAACUCCUACGGGAGGCAGCAGUAGGGAAUCUUGCACAAUGAGGAAACCUUGAUGCAGCGACGCCGCGUGCGGGACGAAGGCCCUAGGGUUGUAAACCGCUUUCAGUAGGGACGAAAGUGACGGUACCUACAGAAGAAGCCCCGGCCAACUAUGUG